rnacentral:rRNA from 1 species
UGCCAGCCGCCGCGGUAACACGGGGGGCGCAAGCGUUAUUCGGAAUUAUUGGGCGUAAAGCGUGCGUAGGCGGUUUACUAAGUCAAAUCUGAAAGCCCUCGGCUUAACCGAGGAGGGUGAUUUGAAACUGUCUGGCUUGAGUAUGGUAGAGGGAAGUGGAAUUCCUGGUGUAGCGGUGAAAUGCGUAGAUAUCAGGAGGAACACCGGUGGCGAAGGCGACUUCCUGGACCAAUACUGACGCUGAGGCGCGAAGGUGUGGGUAGCAAACGGGAUUAGAUA